rnacentral:other from 1 species
GUUGCGAUCCUUUCAGGGGUGAUGAGCGAC